rnacentral:ncRNA from 1 species
CGCAGGAUAUUUGAUGGGAGCUGUCCCUAGUACGAGAGGACCGGGACGGACGUACCUCUGGCGCACCAGUUGUUCCGCCAGGAGCAUAGCUGGGCAACUACGUACGGAUCGGAUAAACGCUGAAAGCAUCUAAGCGUGAAGCCGACCCAAAGAUAAGAUAUCCCACUGAUUGAAUCAGGUAAGAUCCCUUGUAGACUACGAGGUUGAUAGGCACGAUGUGUAAGUGGAGUGAUCCAUUCAGCAAGUGUGUACUAAUAGAUCGA